rnacentral:lncRNA from 1 species
UUUUGAUACCUACUUUUUAAGUAUUCAUAUCUAUGUAAAACAUAUAGCUAACUUUGAGAAGAGAUGAAUGUCCCCUUCUCUGCAUUGUAGAUGAAAAUGUAAAUAUGAGCAAGAGAGAGAGAUGAAAGAAAGAAACUAGAUGUUACAUGGUUUUGAGAAUCCUCUCAUCUAAAAUUUUAGAAGUCUUAUUCUAAGACUGAAGAGAGAAUCAUUUUUAACGCAUAAGAGAUAGUGGCCACCCCUUUUAUAUCAUAGGGUUAGGGUGGCAGCAUUUGAGAUUUGGGAGUUGCCAUAAAUCUAGCUUUGAUGAUUUUCCACCUACAUUUGAUAAUUUCUCAAUUUGAGAUAGUUAUUCAGCUUAUGCAAUAUUUUCAAUCAUCUAAUGAAUCUCUUCAGGUGUUAAUUCUUCAUCGUACAACAAAGUGUGAAUAAAAUAGUACCUUAGAGUGAUGUUUUCGUAUUUACCACCUAGCUCAACAAUUAAACUCUUGAAUCAUACAAAUUCAUUCAUAGCCUUUGUAAUGGUCCAAAUCUACUUAGUAGUGGAGAGAGAAAAACUUUUAUGUAGUUUUAAAAAGCAAUCUCACAACAAUAUCACUGACAAUGUAGAUGUAUCUAAUGAUGAUUGUCCUCUUGCCAACAUUACCUCCUAGAUCUGAAUUUUUAAAACCUUAUAAUUUCAAUUUUUUAUUUUAAAACAAAGAGUCAUACAUGAAGUAUCAUGCAAGUAGUGAAAAAUUUGUUGUAUACUUGCCUAUUUUUGCCUUCUUUUAUGCCAUUAAUGUGUUUUCUUCUCUCAUUGCUUGAGCAAUAUCUAGUCUAAUGUAAACCAUGGGAUACAUGAGACUACCUAAAGCAGAGGCAAAAAGAAUCAUCUCCAUAUCUUGAUGUUUCUUUGCUGCUUUUAGGAAUUUAUCUAUA